AAUUUUUUAAAGUAAAAAAGAUGUACAAGGUUUCCGUAGGUGAACCUGCGGGAGGAUCAUU
rnacentral:rRNA from 1 species